UACGUAGGGGGCAAGCGUUGUCCGGAAUUAUUGGGCGUAAAGCGCGUGUAGGCGGCCAGAAAAGUCCGCUGUGAAAACUCGAGGCUUAACCUCGAGAUGUCAUCGGAAACCAUCUGGCUAGAGUCCGGAAGAGGAGAGUGGAAUUCCUGGUGUAGCGGUGAAAUGCGCAGAUAUCAGGAAGAACACCAAUGGCGAAAGCAGCUCUCUGGGACGGUACUGACGCUGAGACGCGAAAGCGUGGGGAGCGAACAGG
rnacentral:rRNA from 1 species